rfam:Mycobacterium cosmeticum, DSM 44829, WGS project CCBB01000000 data, contig: 000001
CUUCCAUGAUCUGCGGGCAGAUCAGGUGCACGUGGCAGUCGAUGGCACCGGCGGUGACGAUGCGGCCGUUCCCGGCGAUGAUCUCGGUGGACGGGCCGACGACGAGGUCGGGAUGCACCCCGGACAUGAUGUCGGGAUUGCCGGCCUUGCCGAUCGCGACGAUGCGCCCGUCGCGGAUGCCGAUGUCGGCCUUGAUGAUUCCCCAGUAGUCGAGGAUGACGGCGCCGGUGAUGACGGUGUCGGGGGCGCCGUCGGCCCUGGUGGCCCGGGAUUGCCCCAUCGAUUCGCGCAG